rnacentral:lncRNA from 1 species
AUUACUGAUUUUGGGCACUCCAAGAUUUUGGGAGAGACCUCUCUCGUGAGAACCUUAUGUGGAACCCCCACCUGCUUGGCUCCUGAAGUUCUUGUUUGUGUUGGACUGCUGGGUUUUAGGAGUUAUUCUUUUUAUCUGCCUUAGUGGGUAUCCACCUUUCUCUGAGCAUAGGACUCAAGUGUCACUGAAGGAUCAGAUCACCAGUGGAAAACACAACUUCAUUCCUAAAGUCUGGGCAGAAAUCUCAGAGAAAGCUCUGGACCUUGUCAAGAAGUUGUUGGUAGUGGAUCCAAAGGCAUGUUUUACGACAGAAGAAGCCUUAAGACACCAUGGUUUCAGGAUGAAGACAUGAAGAGAAAGUUUCAAGAUCUUCUGUCUGAGGAAAAUGAAUCCACAGGUCUAUCCCAGGUUCUAGCCCAGCCUUCUACUAGUCGAAAGCGGCCUCGUGAAGGGGAAGCCGAGGGUGCCGAGACCACAAAGCGCCCGGCUGUGUGUGCUGCUGUGUUGUG